rnacentral:rRNA from 1 species
GACGAACGCUGGCGGCGUGCUUAACACAUGCAAGUCGAACGGAAAGGCCCUGCUUUUGUGGGGUGCUCGAGUGGCGAACGGGUGAGUAACACGUGAGUAACCUGCCCUUGACUUUGGGAUAACUUCAGGAAACUGGGGCUAAUACCGGAUAGAAGCUCCUGCUGCAUGGUGGGGGUUGGAAAGUUUCGGCGGUUGGGGAUGGACUCGCGGCUUAUCAGCUUGUUGGUGGGGUAGUGGCUUACCAAGGCUUUGACGGGUAGCCGGCCUGAGAGGGUGACCGGCCACAUUGGGACUGAGAUACGGCGCAGACUCCUACGGGAGGCAGCAGUGGGGAAUAUUGCAGAAUGGGCGGAAGCCUGAUGCAGCAACGCCGCGUGCGGGAUGACGGCCUUCGGGUUAUAAACCGCUGUCGCCUGUGACGAAGAGUGAGUGACGGUAAUGGGUAAAGAAGCACCGGCUAACUACGUG